rnacentral:rRNA from 1 species
CCUACGGGAGGCAGCAGUGAGGAAUAUUGGUCAAUGGAUGAGAAUCUGAACCAGCCAAGUAGCGUGAAGGAUGACUGCCCUAUGGGUUGUAAACUGCUUUUAUAUGGGAAUAAAACAGGGUAUGCAUACCCUCUUGUAUGUACCAUAUGAAUAAGGAUCGGCUAAUUCCGUGCCAGCAGCCGCGGUAAUACGGAGGGUCCGAGCGUUAUCCGGAUUUAUUGGGUUUAAAGGGUGCGUAGGUGGUUUGUUAAGUCAGUUGUGAAAUAUAGUGGCUCAACCUUUAACGUGCAGUGGAAACUGGUAGACUUGAGUGCAGUAGAGGUGGGCGGAAUUCGUGGUGUAGCGGUGAAAUGCUUAGAUAUCACGAAGAACUCCGAUUGCGAAGGCAGCUCACUGUACUGUAACUGACACUGAUGCUCGAAAGUGCGGGUAUCAAACAGGAUUAGAUACCCGUGUAGUC